rnacentral:rRNA from 1 species
GCCAGACUCCUACGGGAGGCAGCAGUGGGGGAUAUUGCACAAUGGGGUAAACCCUGAUGCAGCGACGCCGCGUGUGGGAAGACGGUCCUCUGGAUUGUAAACCACUGUCCCCAGGGACGAAGAUGACGGUACCUGGGGAGGAAGCUCCGGCUAACUACGUGCCAGCAGCCGCGGUAAUACGGAGGAUGCGAGCGUUAUCCGGAUUUAUUGGGUUUAAAGGGUGCGCAGGCGGGAGAUCAAGUCAGCGGUAAAAUGUCGGGGAUCAACCCCGGCCGGCCGUUGAAACUGGUUUUCUAGAGUUGGAGAGAAGUAUGCGGAAUUCGUGGUGUAGCGGUGAAAUGCAUAGAUAUCACGAAGAACUCCGAUUGCGAAGGCAGCAUACCGGCUCCAUACUGACGCUGAGGCACGAAAGCGUGGGGAUCGAGCAGGAUUAGAUACCCCAGUAA